CCCAAGUGCAGUUUUGUACUAUUCAACGUUUAACGUUGAACGUUCGUUUUAUUUGAAAUUUUUUUAUUAUUAGUAUUUUUAUUACUAUUAGAUGAUAAAACAUAAAUAGUACUUUAUGUGUGACUAAAUAUUUUUAAAUUUUUCACAAAUUUUUCAAAUAAGACGGACGGUUAAACGUUGGGCACGGAUAUCCAUGGCUACACUUAUU
rfam:Oryza nivara chromosome 1, whole genome shotgun sequence.